AUUAUAAAACGAUCUUUUAAGCUA
rnacentral:siRNA from 1 species